AUUGAACGCUGGCGGCAGGCUUAACACAUGCAAGUCGAGCGGAGAUGAGGUGCUUGCACCUUAUCUUAGCGGCGGACGGGUGGGUAAUGCUUAGGAAUCUGCCUAUUAGUGGGGGACAACAUUCCGAAAGGAAUGCUAAUACCGCAUACGUCCUACGGGAGAAAGCAGGGGAUCUUCGGACCUUGCGCUAAUAGAUGAGCCUAAGUCGGAUUAGCCAGUUGGUGGGGUAAAGGCCUACCAAGGCGACGAUCUGUAGCGGGUCUGAGAGGAUGAUCCGCCACACUGGGACUGAGACACGGCCCAGACUCCUACGGGAGGCAGCAGUGGGGAAUAUUGGACAAUGGGGGGAACCCUGAUCCAGCCAUGCCGCGUGUGUGAAGAAGGCCUUAUGGUUGUAAAGCACUUUAAGCGAGGAGGAGGCUACUGAGACUAAUACUCUUGGAUAGUGGACGUUACUCGCAGAAUAAGCACCGGCUAACUCUGUGCCAGCCGCCGCGGUAACAC
rnacentral:rRNA from 1 species